CAGCAUUGUAGCUCAAUUAUGGGAGUCCGGCUAUGAGAUUAACCGAGUUGGUACCUUCUCGGUUGAAGCGGCCUGCUUUGUUCCUAGGCCUUAGCCCAAUUUCAAGGUAGUCUAGCAAGCAAAAGUCAGCAUCCCGAUUCAUCGUUGAAAAAUUCAAAUGAGAAAUGAGUCAGCGAAACAAAAGAACACACAGAAAAUAAAGAUUUAGGCCAAGGUAUUUACACAGAAGAAGAAAAAAUGGAGCAGAAGAACAAGUACAGCAUAAUAGUACCUACUUACAACGAGCGCCUCAACAUUGCUCUCAUCGUCUAUCUCAUCUUCAAACAUCUCCGGGAUGUAGAUUUUGAAAUAAUUGUUGUGGAUGAUGGGAGCCCUGAUGGUACUCAGGAAGUUGUGAAACAACUGCAGAAACUGUAUGGUGAAGAUCGUAUUCUAUUGAGACCUAGACCUAAGAAGCUUGGAUUGGGAACAGCUUACAUUCACGGUUUGAAGCAUGCUUCUGGAAAUUUUGUUGUAAUCAUGGAUGCUGAUCUGUCACAUCAUCCAAAAUAUUUGCCAUGCUUCAUCAAGAAGCAGUCUGAAACUGGUGCCAGCAUAGUUACCGGAACACGAUAUGUCAAAGGUGGUGGCGUGCAUGGAUGGAGUCUGAUGCGCAAGCUAACAAGUAGGGGAGCCAAUGUUCUUGCACAAACUCUUUUGUGGCCUGGUGUAUCAGACUUAACUGGCUCUUUCAGGCUUUAUAAGAAAUCAGUGCUUGAAGAUGUCAUUAGCUCCUGUGUUAGCAAGGGAUAUGUAUUUCAAAUGGAGAUGAUUGUUAGGGCUUCAAGAAAAGGUUAUCACAUUGAAGAGGGAGCAUCAUAAACUCUUCCACUUGCCAGUCGUGUGUGGGUUUCAAGUUGAUUGGGAAAAGGUCUAGGAUUCAAUCCCUGUGUCUAUAAACCCCUUCCCCAUGAUCCCAUUGUAAUGUAAUGUAAUUGCUUACUUGUAUAUAUAAACUCUUCCACUUAGUUAUGUUAUGUCUUGUGUUGAACCAGAUUGUACAGAUAUUUUCUACAUUGGAGUUUGCUCGUUCCAAUAACUUUUGUUGAUAGAGUGUUCGGAAGUUCAAAGCUUGGUGGAUCAGAAAUUAUAGAGUAUCUUAAAGGCCUUUCAUAUCUUUUGGUCACAACAUGAGCCCUGAGAUUGGCCGCGUAAGCUUUGCAGCGAACAAUUUUUAUGGCUUAGCUCUUACAAGUUCCUUUGUAUCCUGACUUUUUGAUGGCUAAUGUAGUUGGUAUUUUGCUACUGGAUUGAAGAUGUUAUUCAAUGGAAUUGAAGAUGCAAAACCUAGGGGAUUGCAUUUUACAGGCUUAACAACAAA